CAAGUACUCCCUCCAUCCAGAAUUACUUGUCAUCAAAAUGGAUGUGUCUAGAACUAAAAUACAUCUGGAUACAUCCAUUUCAAUGACAAGUAUUUCUGGACUGAGGGAGUACAAG
rnacentral:pre_miRNA from 1 species